CCACCCCGCUGUGCGUGCACGCUCGGAGACCCACAGGCCUCCCCUGCUCCGCCAGCCUGGAUCCUCCUUCAGGCUUCUCUCCCAAGAUCAUUAAAACCGAAUUCGGCGAGCAAGGUGCUGUGAAGGUUUGGGAAGGAAGAUCGAGGCAACAGCACAGCCCAAGUAUCCCCAAAUCAAAAUAAACCCGAAGUCUGCAGGCACACUGACUGCCUGAGGUUUACCAGGUUAUCAAUAUUUACUGAAAUUUAAAAGAAAACUGACAUCCCAUAAUUCUGUUUAGACAAAAAAGAUGAUUCUAUAAUUUGGAUCUGGAAUGUUUCCCAAAGGCUUGGUUCUAGUGUGGCGCUGUCAAGAACUGGAAUAACAUUUAAUGGAACGUCCAUAGGCCUUUGUCACAGUGAGCCCUCAGAUCAUUCAUGCCCAUCCUGUUACUACUUGACGAAUUCAGAAGACGUUCAUCUCCCCACAUUUCAGGCAUUAACUCCCCAACCCGUGAUCCUGACAAAAUCAAUUAUAAUUAAAAAAUGCAUUGCCCAACCUGGGAACAGAAUAUGAGGAAAAUGCCUCUGAGGCUCGCUGAGUUUUGAUCUCCUGAAAGUGAACAUGUUUGGAACAAUAUUCCUGAAAAGGACUUUGAUACGAUCAACACCAUGUAUAACAAUGAGGAGUGUGAUGCUCUGCCUUAAGCUAUAAGAGGGAAAGAAGCAAGUAGACAAGCGUGUGCUUGGACAGAAUGGAACUAGAAAAUUUCAGAAGGAAAGGUCCACAAGAUGAAAAUGUUUCAUCUGCUUUAUGUAUGUAAGGGCUGUAGGUACACAAAUUUCUAUGUGCAUGUAUGUAGAGCUUGGAGGUUGACAUCAGCUCUUUUCCUUGCUCUCCAUUUAGCUAAUGAAGCUCACUGGUUAGGCUUUACUGUCAGGCCACAAGAAACCCCAAGGAGCUUCCUGUGUGCCCCUCCUCAACAGCUGGAUUGCAGAAGUAUACUUACACAUCUGUUUUUUUUAUGUAGGUGUUAGAGAUCAUAGUUAGACCUUCAUAUUGUACAACAACCACUUUACCUACUGAAUCCUCCAUUUUCUGUGUGGCUAAACUAUAUAUUGACUUAACAAAGGGUGGGGUCUGCUGUGAAGGAUUUCUGGUGUUUUUUUUUUUAUUUUUUUAUGCUAUGCCCUGAAGACACAGUCUCAUCCUACUUUAGAAAUGAAAAUACCUGGGUUUUAAUCCUUACAUGUGACGUUGGCUGGCAGACAUUAGAAACCUCACUUAAGCACAGUGUAACUAGAACUCUCAGCAUAUUGUGUUUUAUGUUUCCAAGGUUCCAAUAAAAACUGAGAUUGAAGACUUGUUCA